AUUGAACGCUGGCGGCAUGCCUUACACAUGCAAGUCGAACGGCAGCACGGGUGCUUGCACCUGGUGGCGAGUGGCGAACGGGUGAGUAAUGUAUCGGAACGUACCUUAUUGUGGGGGAUAACGCAGCGAAAGCUGUGCUAAUACCGCAUAAUCCCUAAGGGGGAAAGCGGGGGACCGUAAGGCCUCGCGCAAUUAGAGCGGCCGAUACCUGAUUAGCUAGUUGGUGAGGUAAAGGCUCACCAAAGCAACGAUCAGUAGCUGGUCUGAGAGGACGAUCAGCCACACUGGGACUGAGACACGGCCCAGACUCCUACGGGAGGCAGCAGUGGGGAAUUUUGGACAAUGGGGGCAACCCUGAUCCAGCAAUGCCGCGUGAGUGAAGAAGGCCUUCGGGUUGUAAAGCUCUUUUGUCAGGGAAGAAACAGCAGCUCUAACACAGUUUGCGAAUGACGGUACCUGAAGAAUAAGCACCGGCUAACUACGUGCCAGCAGCCGCGGUAA
rnacentral:rRNA from 1 species